rnacentral:lncRNA from 1 species
CCCUGGCUGUAACCAAUUCAUAAUGCUCCAGACCUAAAACUCGCAUUGUUUCAACUCCAAUUCGCGUCGAGCAAUGCUAAAACCCUUCUAACUCACUUGGAACUUAACUUUAACCCUUCCAACAUUGUUGGAUUAAUGUUAAAUGGAUCUUGUCCAACUAUUUUUUUCGUACACUUUAGUUAAUUUGACUAAAGUUCGAUAUUCUCUACCGAGUUUUAGUAUAUUACAUGACGAAAAGAGAAAAAUUAAAUCACAAGAUAUUAAAUUGAUGCACUUUAAAUCACAGGAUAGUAAAAUCAGAAAGUGCGAAACCACAAGAACGGUAUUUGAAGUUUACCCUAUUUUUU